UCUAAGAUGCAUCCAUUUUAUAGAAUGAAAGACUUUAUGAUACACAAGCAUUGAAAACAGAGAGGUUAAAAAUAUUAAAACACACAAUGUAAUGUUCCAAUACCAAAGCAAAAUCAAUACAUUCGAAAUUCAAGAAUACUACUACCACAAUCUGUAGGAGUAUCACAUACAUUCAAAAUAAGUAUCUACAAGAUACUCCAAGAUGCAUCUAUUUCAUAACAUGACAGACUUAUUAUACAUACAAACACCAAAAGAGAGAUAAUAAGUGUUUUAAACUCACAAUGUAAUGUCCCUAUAGCCAAAGUAAAAUCUACCUUUUCUCCGUAUAUGAUGCAGAAUUCUAGGAUUUCAUUCACAUGUUUAUAACAAUCACGAAAGGUUUAGAGCAUAACGCAAAACACAUACUUUCAAGAUUCAAGGAAAUUACAAUCAAAAUCUGCAGAAAUCGCACAUAUGUCAAAUAAAUAUCUACAAGAGACUCUCAAAUGCAUCCAUUUUAUAGAAUGAAAGACUUUAUGAUACACAAGCAUUGAAAACAGAGAGGUUAAAAAUAUUAAAACACACAACGUUAUGUUCCAAUACCAAAUCAAAAUCAAUACAUUCGAGAUUCAAGAAUACUACUACCAUAAUCUGCAAGAGUAUCACAUACAUUCGAAAUAAGUAUCUACAAGAUACUCCAAAAUGCAUCUAUUUCAUAACAUGACAAACUUAUUAUACAUACAAACACAAAAACAGAGAUAAUAAGUGUUUUAAACUCAUAUAGCCAAAGUAAAAUCUACCUUUUCUCCUUAUAUGAUGCAGAAUUCUAGGAUUUCAUUCACAUGUUUAUAAAAGUCAUGAAAGGUUUAGAGCAUAACGCAAAACAAAUACUUUCAAGAUUAAAGGAAAUUACAAUCAAAAUAUGCAGAAAUAGCACAUAUGUCAAAUAAAUAUCUAUAAGAAACUCUAAGAUGCAUCCAUUUUAUAGAAUGAGAGACCUUAUGAUACACAAGCAUUGAAAACAAAGAGAAUCAAAAUUUUAAAACACAAUAUAAUGUUCCAAUACCCAAAGCAAAAUCUACAUUUUUUUAUCAAUGAUAUGUUAGCAAAUAAGUUCAUAAAAUUUGAAAGAUAGAUCAAGGACAGUAAUGCUAUUGAGGCAGCUAAUAUAAAAAAAACAUUUUAAAUUAUGAAUGGUGCUUAGACCUGCAUUUCCAAUUUCUUUAAUUCUAAUAUGUAAAUUUUCACAUGUAAUAAAAUAAUUUUAUCACUGGAAAAUCGCAAAAAGCUUAUAUACCUGGUAAUAAAUUCUGAUACUCUUAGAAAUCUCCUUGGUUGGAAGAAAAAGAAAAAAAAAAAAGAAAUCUCCUUGGCAUCACGGAAAAAUUAACACCUUUUGAGGCACAAACCUGAGCAAAUCAAAAUUAGUCUAUACUUCACGUAUGUGUCUCUCACUUGUGAUUUUCUUAAUUGUAUCAACAAAUUACAAACAAGUUUGAAAAGAAAAUAAACACAUAAACAAAAAGGUUUGAAAACAUAUACCUGUUAAAGAAGUUUGCUACACUUGAAAUCUCCUUGAACACCUUCAAAAGCACAUAUCUGAGGAAAUAAGAAUCUUCCUAUAACAAAAGUAAAUCCAAAACAAUUAGUAAAUUUGUAAAAUUAACCGAUCUACAAACAAAAGUUAAAUUCAUCCCUCAACAUGUAUUGUUUUUGUUCAGAUUAAGAGGAUUCAGAUUUGAUAUACAAAGGAAAACAUUGAUACUCUCUAUGUUCUCGUCAACACUAAAAAUCAAUCUAUGAAACCCAAAUAUCUCUCUUUUGUCAUGGAGCGAAUUCAAACAUGACAUCAGAUCUACUUCUAGGGAUAGUAGAGACUUACGGUAUUGCCCUGUGUUCAUUGAAAAACUCUUUCAAGUGCCUCAUGUGUCACUGAGUUGUAACUUCUUUCUCUCAUGCUCUAGCUGUGACACAACAAAACUGUAUUAAUAUCAGAUGAAACGCAAAUAUUACAUUUACGGUACUUCUAGGGAUAGUAAAGACUUACGGUAUUGCCCUGUGUUCAUUGAACAACUCCUUCAAGUGCCUCAUGUGUCACUAAGUUGCAAAUUCUUCCUCUCAUGCUCCAGCUGUGAGACAACAAAAAUGAAACGAAAAUACUACAUUUACUACUUGGUAUAGACACUUACCACAGUCUUUACUCGAUCAUUGACAUCACGGUUUCCACGGAAGACACAAUCCAGCAUUAAGAGCAUGUCUUUGUUAUCUGACCGUACAUAAAGCCUGAAAUCCAACAUCACAUAACAUUCAAUCAAAUAGAGUAGAUGUUAAAAUUCAAUAAAAUGAUAACUAGCAUAAUCAUACAACAAUUUUUCACCACCGGUUCUUAAUUUGCAAAACAGGGAGAUCUCAACGUAAGUAGGAAAACACUGAAACAGGGAAAUCUUAAUUGCAAAACAGGAAAACUCAGAAACUCUCU
rnacentral:lncRNA from 1 species